rnacentral:rRNA from 1 species
GGUCAGCGACUUAUAUUCAGUGGCAAGGUUAACCGUAUAGGGGAGCCGUAGCGAAAGCGAGUCUUAACUGGGCGCUCAGUCUCUGGAUAUAGACCCGAAACCGGGUGAUCUAGCCAUGGGCAGGUUGAAGGUUGAGUAACAUCAACUGGAGGACCGAACCGACUAAUGUUGAAAAAUUAGCGGAUGACUUGUGGCUAGGGGUGAAAGGCCAAUCAAACUCGGAGAUAGCUGGUUCUCCCCGAAAGCUA